UACGUAGGAGGCGAGCGUUGUCCGGAAUCACUGGGCGUAAAGCGCGCGUAGGCGGCGCUGUACGACAGGUGUGAAAGCCCCCGGCUCAACUGGGGAGGGUCAUCUGUAACGGCAGUGCUGAUGAGUGCAGGAGAGGGAAGUGGAACUCCGGGAGUAGCGGUGAAAUGCGUAGAGACCCGGAGGAACACCGGUGGCGAAGGCGGCGACCUGGUCCUUGACUGACGCUGAGGCGCGAAAGCGUGGGGAGCAAACAGG
rnacentral:rRNA from 1 species